rnacentral:rRNA from 1 species
GUAGGUGGCAAGCGUUGUCCGGAAUUAUUGGGCGUAAAGCGCGCGCAGGUGGUCUUUAAGUCUGAUGUGAAAGCCCCCGGGCUCAACCGGGGAGGGUCAUUGGAAACUGGGGAACUUGAGUGCAGGGGAGGAAAGUGGAAUUCCACGUGUAGCGGUGAAAUGCGUAGAUAUGUGGAGGAACACCAGUGGCGAAGGCGACUUUCUGGCCUGUAACUGACACUGAGGCGCGAAAGCGUGGGGAGCAAACAGGAUUAGACACCCUGGUAGUCCACGCCGUAAACGAUGAGUGCUAAGUGUUGGGGGGUUUCCGCCCCUCAGUGCUGCAGCUAACGCAUUAAGCACUCCGCCUGGGGAGUACGGUCGCAAAGACUGA